GGGCCCGCACAAGCGGUGGAGCAUGUGGUUUAAUUCGAUGAUACGCGAGGAACCUUACCAGGGCUUAAAUGUAGUGGGACAGGUCUAGAGAUAGACCCUUCUUCGGACUCAUUACAAGGUGCUGCAUGGUUGUCGUCAGCUCGUGCCGUGAGGUGUCAGGUUAAGUCCUAUAACGAGCGCAACCCCUGCCGUUAGUUGCCAGCAUGUAAUGAUGGGAACUCUAACGGGACUGCCGGUGCAAACCGCGAGGAAGGUGGGGAUGACGUCAAAUCAUCACGGCCCUUACGUCCUGGCUACACACGUGCUACAAUGGCCGGUACAGAGAGCAGCCACUACGCGAGUAGGCGCG
rnacentral:rRNA from 1 species